CACGUAGGGUCCGAGCGUUGUCCGGAAUUACUGGGCGUAAAGCGCGCGCAGGCGGUUAGUCGCAUCGGCGGUGAAAGCCCCCCGCUUAACGGGGGAGGGUCCGUCGAGAUGGACUGACUGGAGGCAGGGAGAGGGCGGUGGAAUUCCGGGUGUAGUGGUGAAAUGCGUAGAGAUCCGGAGGAACACCAGUGGCGAAGGCGGCCAACUGGUCCGGCACUGACGCUGAGGUGCGAAAGCGUGGGGAGCAAACAGG
rnacentral:rRNA from 1 species